GAUGGACCUGAUGAAGAGUCGGCGUUAUUCAGCCGGUUGCGUCCACCUCAGCCCUGCGCCGGACGUCAAGCCGGCUGUGGGUGUCUGGUGUGGCCAGCGGGUGCAUUUUCGCCGAUGCGCACUGGAAGCUGUGCUCGCGCUGGAAGAAAGGCGGAGAAUGCCGGCCAAAGCCGUUGGUGUCCCUUCUCUGUCGGAAGCCGAGUUGUGGGUACAGUGUUGAACGAGAACACCCGCCUCUACUCGUGGGUGCUGUGUGCCUGGCUCAGGGGGAAGUUGGUUGCUUGCAACUCUCGGCCUGCUGCGGCUUUGCACCUGGUGUCUGUCGAGUCGGUGUUAUUCCGGUGUUUGUGUCAGACCCCCAUCUGACCCGUCUUGAAACACGGACCAAGGAGUCUAACAUGUGCGCGAGUCAUUGGGUGGUGAAACCCAGAGGCGCAAUGAAAGUGAAGUCUGGUUCGGCCGGACGAUAUGGGAUCCUCCUUC
rnacentral:rRNA from 1 species